GACAGAGGGGGCAAGCGUUGCUCGGAAUCACUGGGCGUAAAGGGCGCGCAGGCGGGAUGGCAAGUCAGUCGUGAAAUCUCUCGGCUCAACCGAGAAACGUCGGCUGAUACUGCCAUUCUUGAGGGAUGCAGAGGAGACUGGAAUUCCCGGUGUAGCGGUGAAAUGUGUAGAGAUCGGGAGGAACACCGGUGGCGAAGGCGGGUCUCUGGGCAUCUCCUGACGCUGAGGCGCGAAAGCGUGGGGAGCAAACGGG
rnacentral:rRNA from 1 species